rnacentral:misc_RNA from 1 species
UUUCUGUAGGUGAACCUGCGGAAGGAUCAUUGUUGUGACCCUAACCAAAACAGACCGCUCAUGCGUCAUCCAAUCCGUCGACGAAGGCACCGUCCGUCGCUCAGCCAAGUCCUCGAUCACCUCCCAUCCUCGGAGUGGGGGCAUAGGGUAAAAGAACCCGUGGCGCCGAAGGCAUCAAGCAACACUGUGCCUAACCUGGGGGCAUGGCUAGCUUGCUAGUCGUUUCCCAUGUUGCAAUGCUAUUUAAUCCACACAACUCUCGGCAACGGAUAUCUCGGCUCUC